rnacentral:rRNA from 1 species
ACGUAGGCGGCAAGCGUUGUCCGGAAUUAUUGGGCGUAAAGGGAGCGCAGGCGGGAAACUAAGCGGAUCUUAAAAGUGCGGGGCUCAACCCCGUGAUGGGGUCCGAACUGGUUUUCUUGAGUGCAGGAGAGGAAAGCGGAAUUCCCAGUGUAGCGCUGAAAUGCGUAGAUACUGGGAAGAACACCAGUGGCGAAGGCGGCUUUCUGGACUGUAACUGACGCUGAGGCUCGAACGCUAGGGUAGCGAACGG